GCCGGACGAAGUCGUUUAAUCUCGGUCAGAGUAAUCAUUGCAUUGGUGUACGUUUACAAAGUCAUUUUUCGAGUGUCCAUUUCCGUCAGGUCAAUAGAUAGACCAGCCGUAUCUACAAAAAUAGUAAUGAAAACGUAGCAUCAAUACGUGAUAAAUUUCACUCGCUCGGUACGUGGAAAGCUCGAGGGUAUAUUCCUAAGCAGUAGCACAGAAGCAUCGCUUGAUUUCUAAAACACACUCAAACCUUAUAGCAGCGCGAGGAGGAAAAACUUGCAAAGGCAACUGAACCGAAAUACGAAAGACACGCAGUAAUUUCAUCACGAAAUAACUUUCGAUUUCGAUUCCCGCCUCGAAUCCGGUGGUUUCUGCCACUGAGGAACGAACGAAAGUUACCUUUCACCGUCGUCGUCGUGUUGGUUCAGCCAGCGAACCGCAUUCACAUGUCGUUCGUCAUUGGGUUCCCGUGAAAGGUGCAAGUCCCUGGAGUGACAUAGAUUGUUCCAGUCGAGGAAAUUGAAUUACCCCUAGUGAAUUCCUCACGGAUUCUCUCUUCGUUUGGGACUGCUAAGCUGCGCAUUGCACGUGGAGCGGAGAUGAAAAGAGCACUCACGCAUAUGAAAAGAAAAGGGGACGAAUCGGAACAAUCAAUCGAAGCUGUCCAAGCCAAUUUGGAACGCUUGAUUCGAAGUGAUUGGAAGAAUUCGAUCAGAGUUUCCGCAAACAGAAAUUUUAUUAAAUGAUUGGUUACGUUUGCUGCAUUCAGUGGCGCUGUAGUUGUCAUCGAGGAGUGAAAUUUUGAUUAAUUCGAACAACGCUUAAUCUACUAGAAAGCCAUCUAAUCAUCGUAUCACAUCACAAUGUCUUACUUACUAUCAUAUAGUUGUUACUGUUUGUAAUCAAAACUGCAUGCAACAAUUAUACACUAAAACCUUUUAGUAGGUUAUUUUUA